rnacentral:lncRNA from 1 species
AUGGGGGAUUCCAACCACUCGGAUGUCUGCUGGGAAAGCUACAUGGCAGGCAGUAAGCAAUCCAGGAGACUUCUGGAAUGCAUUGAGGACAAUUUCCUUGUCCAGCUGUUAGACAAACCAACCAGAGGAGAAGCAUUGCUGGACCUGGUGCUCACCAUUGUGGAUGACCUUAUUAAAGAGGUUAAGACUGGAGGCAGUCUGGGUUGCAGUGACCACACCCUGGUUGAGUUUGUGAUCUCGAGGGAUGUGGGCCAGGCAAAAAGCAAAGUCAGGACCCUCAACUUCAGAAGAACUAACUUCCAAAUCAAAGAAUUAGUGGAUGAGAUCCCAUGGGACACUGUCCUUAGGGACAGAGGAUCUGAUCAGAACUGGCAACUCUUUAAUGAUGUUUUUUUUAGAGUGCAAGAGCUCUCCAUCCCCAUGUGCAAUAAAUCAAGCAGGGAAGGCAAGGAACCAGUAUGGCUGAGCAAUGACCUCCUGGUUAAACUUAGGCAAAAGAAGAAACUGCACAGGCAGUGGAAACAGGGCCGUGUGCCCUGGGAGGAGUACAGAAAUGCCGUCCGGACAUGCAGAGAUGGGAUCAGGAAAGCCAAGGCACUGACAGAGCUAAACUUGGUAAGGGAUGUAAAAAAUAACAAGAAGGGAUUGUACAGGUACGUUGGCCAGAAAAGAAAGACUAAGGAGAGCAUACCACCUCUGAAAAAUGUAGAUGGAGGACUGGUAACAACAGAUAUGGAGAAGGCUGAGGUACUUAACAACUUCUUUGGCUCAGUGUUCACUGGCAGUCAGGCUUCCCACAUCUCUCGAGUCCCCAGAUCUCUAGGGGGGGGCUUCAGGAGCAGGGUCCUCCCCCCCACACACACUGUAAGCGAAGAGCAGGUUUGGGACCUGCUGAUGCAACUGAACAGCUACAAGUCUAUGGGGCCUGAUGACAUCCAUCCCAGGGUCCUGAGGGAACUGGCUGAUGUAGCUGCCAAGCCACUCUCCAUCAUAUUUGAAAAGUCAUGGCAGUCAGGAAAAGUCCCUGGUGACUGGAAAAAGAGAAACAUCACUGCCAUUUUUUAG